rnacentral:rRNA from 1 species
AUUGAACGCUGGCGGCAGGCCUAACACAUGCAAGUCGAACGAGUGGCGGACGGGUGAGUCAUGUCUGGGAAACUGCCUGAGGGAGGGGGUUAACUACUGGAAACGGUAGCUAAUACCGCAUACCAUCGGAUGUGCCCAGAUGGGAUUGGCUAGUAGGUGGGGUAAAGGCUACCCUAGGCGACGAUCCCUAGCUUGUCUGAGAGGUUGAACAGCCACACUGGAACUGAGACACGGUCCAGACUCCUACGGGAGGCAGCAGUGGGGAAUAUUGCACAAUGGGCGCAAGCCUGAUGCAGCCAUGCCGCGUGUAUGAAGAAGGCCUUCGGGUUGUAAAGUACUUUCAGCGGGGAGGCGUUACCCGCAGAAGAAGCCCCGGCUAACUCCGUGCCAGCAGCCGCGGUAAUAC